GGCACGAUGGUCGCACAAGAAUGUGAUACAGCCUCGACGGCCGCCAUUUUCUUUCUUUCUUAGCAGUUGGCUGAGGGAACAUCUCUGCGAAGAAGCGGCAGCGGCCUCUGUAGCCUAGACAUGGCAGACUACUCAACAGUGCCUCCACCUUCCUCUGGCUCAGCUGGUGGUGGAGGCGGCGGCGGUGGUGGUGGAGGAGUUAACGAUGCUUUCAAAGAUGCGCUGCAGAGAGCACGGCAGAUUGCAGCAAAAAUUGGAGGUGAUGCUGGUACAUCACUGAAUUCAAAUGACUAUGGUUAUGGGGGACAAAAAAGACCUUUGGAAGACGGAGAUGGCUCUUGGACAAGUCCGAGCAGUACAACACACUGGGAGGGAAUGCCCUCUCCUUUUAAAGAUCAACCAGAUGCUAAGAAAGUUGCUCCUCAAAAUGACUCUUUUGGAACACAGUUACCACCGAUGCAUCAGCAGCAAAGCAGGUCUGUAAUGACAGAAGAAUACAAAGUUCCAGAUGGAAUGGUUGGAUUUAUAAUUGGCAGAGGAGGUGAACAGAUCUCACGCAUACAACAAGAAUCUGGAUGCAAAAUACAGAUAGCUCCUGACAGUGGUGGCCUUCCAGAAAGGUCUUGUAUGUUAACUGGAACACCUGAAUCUGUCCAAUCGGCAAAACGGUUACUGGACCAGAUUGUAGAAAAGGGAAGACCAGCCCCUGGCUUCCACCAUGGUGAUGGACCAGGAAAUGCAGUUCAAGAAAUCAUGAUUCCAGCUAGCAAAGCAGGAUUAGUUAUUGGAAAGGGGGGAGAAACUAUUAAACAACUUCAGGAGCGGGCUGGAGUUAAAAUGGUUAUGAUUCAAGAUGGACCUCAGAACACUGGUGCUGACAAACCUCUUAGGAUUACAGGAGACCCAUACAAAGUUCAACAAGCCAAGGAAAUGGUGUUAGAGUUAAUUCGUGAUCAAGGUGGUUUCAGAGAAGUUCGAAAUGAGUAUGGGUCAAGAAUAGGUGGAAAUGAAGGGAUAGAUGUCCCCAUUCCAAGAUUUGCUGUUGGCAUUGUAAUAGGAAGAAAUGGAGAGAUGAUUAAAAAAAUACAAAAUGAUGCUGGUGUUCGAAUUCAGUUUAAGCCAGAUGAUGGAACAACACCUGAUAGAAUAGCACAAAUAACAGGACCUCCAGACCGAUGUCAACACGCUGCAGAAAUUAUUACAGACCUCCUUCGAAGUGUUCAGGCUGGUAAUCCUGGUGGACCUGGACCUGGUGGCCGAGGAAGAGGUAGAGGUCAAGGCAACUGGAACAUGGGACCACCUGGUGGACUACAGGAAUUUAAUUUCAUUGUACCAACAGGGAAAACUGGAUUAAUAAUAGGAAAAGGAGGUGAAACCAUAAAAAGCAUAAGCCAACAGUCUGGUGCAAGAAUAGAACUUCAGAGAAAUCCUCCACCUAAUGCAGAUCCUAAUAUGAAAUUAUUUACAAUCCGUGGCACUCCACAGCAAAUAGACUAUGCACGGCAACUUAUAGAAGAAAAGAUUGGUGGCCCAGUAAAUCCUUUAGGGCCACCUGUACCCCAUGGGCCCCAUGGUGUCCCAGGCCCCCAUGGGCCUCCUGGGCCUCCAGGGCCUGGAACUCCAAUGGGACCAUACAACCCUGCACCUUACAAUCCAGGACCACCUGGCCCUGCUCCUCAUGGACCUCCAGCUCCUUAUGCCCCCCAGGGGUGGGGAAAUGCAUAUCCACACUGGCAGCAGCAGGCCCCUCCUGAUCCAGCUAAGGCAGGAACAGAUCCAAAUUCAGCAGCUUGGGCUGCCUACUAUGCUCACUAUUAUCAACAGCAAGCACAGCCACCACCUGCAGCUCCUGCCGGUGCACCAACUACAACCCAAACCAAUGGACAAGGUAACUAUGGAGAUCAGCAGAAUCCAGCUCCAGCUGGACAGGUUGAUUAUACUAAGGCCUGGGAAGAGUAUUACAAGAAAAUGGGUCAACAAGGGCAGACACAAGAUUAUUCAAAAGCUUGGGAGGAAUAUUACAAGAAGCAAGGUCAAGCGGUUCCUGCUCCUACUGGUGCUCCACCAGGUGGUCAGCCAGAUUAUAGUGCAGCCUGGGCUGAGUACUAUAGACAACAAGCAGCCUACUAUGCCCAGACAAGUCCCCAGGGAAUGCCACAGCAUCCUCCAGCACCUCAGUGCAGGUUUGAUCCAGCCAGUAUAGAACUAGCUCUGUAGGGGUGAGGAGGACUGUGCUGUGUAUCAUCCUUGAUUGUGUUCCUUCAAGGAGCAUUGCACUUGCCUUCCCAGACCUUCCACCUUAGGUUCUGCUGCAAAAAGCAACAGGUAAGCACAACCUAAGGACAUAUAUAAAUAAAUAUUUCAGUACAUUAAUGUUGUCCCUGUGAGGUUUUUGUGGUUGUGUAUUCAAAAGCAAUCUGCUACUGCUUCCCCAAAAUGUAUUUUGUUAUUUAUGCUACCAUUUCAGUGGAAAGUCUGUAAGUUGUUCAAACAACUGUUUACAUUUCUGGGUAAUGUUUUUUAUUUUAAUUUUUUUAUUAAAACAAGAAAAAUGAUGAGUAGAUUGCUGCUAUAAUUGAACUACAUCCAAACUUUUUGUAAUCUUUUCCCAACUACAGAAGAAUUGUUAAGAAAGGGCAGUUAACAUAGUUUUUGAGAUUUAGGAAAUCACUUGGUUAGAAACUUCAACAGCCUUCACAAGCUUUUUAUGAUUGACAGGUUGACAGGACAUUUUCUUUCUUUGCCCUCCAAAGCUAUAUGGAGUUUAUUUUUUUCUUAUUCUUGAAGUAUAACAAUUCAGUAAGGACAUUAUGGGUCAGAAUUUUAUUACAAAGUUUUUUUUUUUAAGACAAUUCAGUUUUCGUAACAUACACUGAAAAAGGAAAAUAUAAGGAAUACUGGCAGUAUGUUUUGAUAAGGCAUGUGCAUCAGUGAAAUGUUAACUGUAUAGCAAAUAACCUUUCAUAAUCUGUAUAGCAAACAAUAUUUUUCUGAUUUAUAAUACUUUAAUAAUUGACGUUGCAUUUUACUUUUUUUGCCAGUUUAAAAUGUUUGUGUUCUUAUAGAUGAUUUUAACUGGUACAUAUUUUGAGUUAAGAUGAAUGUAUUAAAGCAGCAUCCUAUCAGUUUUGUUUAUUCAGUUUCUAAAAUGUGCUGAUCCUUUUAAAACUCCUGCUUAUCUCUACAACAAAGAAAAAUAUUCAAAAAUACUGCCUUCAUUUUCACACACAGUGCUGAAGAUGCUGCAAGCACCAAAUCAUAGCUCAUAAAAUCAGGUCCUGAGAUAGUUACCCAUAAAGAGGAAUCCUUUGAGUGUAUGCCAUUGGUGAGCCGAUGAGCAUGGACCAUAGAAGGGCUCAAUGUAGAAGGUAAAAUUGGCAAAUCAUAAUUGAGAAAUAUGAAAUGUAUUCCCAUACAUUGGUAUAGGGUGUAAUGUACCUGCUUUUGAUCACUUUUCAUUUUAAAGUGCUAUUUGCUUGAUCUUAAAUGUUCCAUGAACUGUUAAAUUUUGUAAGUUGUGUAGUUACUGCACCACAUUUAUGUGUGUGUGUGUAUUGUUUUAAUAGUCAAUGAUAGGUAUGUUAAGACAUAAUAUAAAGGAGAUCUUUGAACCUUAAGGAGCCUUUCAACUUUUGGUUAGCUGUAGUUUGCAUUUUUAUAAAAUAAUAGAUGAAUGCUUAUAGAUACUGGGGCAUUGUUUCUAUCUCAAGAGUUUUUUUUAACUCAUUACCAUAAGCCUUCACUGAUAACUGCAUUUUUAAAAUGGCGCUAAUCUUAACCUUGAAAUAAAUGGAAAGCAGAAAAGGUGAGCCAGUUGACUUGAAUGCAAUGGAUGUUAGGAGUGGUAGAAACAAUGUUUAGAUUGAAAUUGAACUGAUUUAUUUUAUUUAGCACUUAAAAACUUGACAAUGUGUUUAAGAUAUUUUAGUGUGGUGAUACUUAGAAUUCUAAUGGGUUUGAUGUUUCUUUUAGAAAUGAAAAGUAUACUUUUAUUUUUAAUUAACAAAAAUGGUUUUAAUACUAAAACUAGUGAUUUAAUACUAGUUGUUUAUAAACAUUGUAAAAUAUUUCCUUAGCCAAAUACCUUGGUAGUUAAUUCAAAAGGGUGGGUUUGGGUAGGAGUAGCAGAGUAAACUUAAGCGGGAAAUAGGAAUAUAUGCAGAAGUGAUUACGUUUGAGUGCUCUGCCAGGAGAACCAGUUCUACCUGUGAACAUCUGUUGUCUAGAAUAAGGAUGUAGAAAUUAUCAAUGAGGAUGUCUUUUUAUUUUCUGAAAAUUCUGCCUCAUUUUAAAAUGUAUUUUAACAGUACCUAAAGAUAAUUUUGACUCUGAAAAUAACCUUUAUUUUUUGUUUAGUCACUUGAGUUAUCUUGCCACAGUAUAAACUUCUGAGGGAUUUAAAUUGGUGCUUUUAAAAAAGAAGCAAAUAAAUCCCAAGGUUUUAUUUUCUUCAGUGAUAGCCCUAUAGAAACUCAUAAAUGUAUUUGCGCAUAUAUAUAUAUAUAUUUUUUCUUAUGCAUGCUCGAUGCAUUUUCGUCCUGAGAAAAGUGUUCUCUACAGAAACUACCCGUGUGUAAAAAGAAGAUUGGCUUAAAAUGGCUACUGUGAUGGGAACAGUGUCUUAGGGAGAUGCAGCUUGGACUUGAGGUAAAUUGAAUACUUUACAAACUGUGGUUUAGAGUUUGCUUUAAUGACAUUGUAUGUAAAAGGGCACGAUUGCUGUAAUUUUGUAUUGAUUAUGGUUUCCUCAAUAAAAAAAUAAUAAAUGUACAUUGAUGAAUAUUAUAA